CCUACGGGUGGCUGCAGUAGGGAAUAUUGGGCAAUGGAGGAAACUCUGACCCAGCCAUGCCGCGUGAAGGAUGAAGGUCCUACGGAUUGUAAACUUCUUUUAUUAGGGAAGAAACGUUUUGAUUCAUCAGAACUUGACGGUACCUAAGGAAUAAGCACCGGCUAACUCCGUGCCAGCAGCCGCGGUAAUACGGAGGGUGCAAGCGUUAUCCGGAUUCACUGGGUUUAAAGGGUGCGUAGGUGGACUUAUAAGUCAGUGGUGAAAGCUCCGAGCUU
rnacentral:rRNA from 1 species